rnacentral:rRNA from 1 species
GAUGAACGCUGGCGGCGUGCCUAAUACAUGCAAGUCGAGCGAAUGGAUUGAGAGCUUGCUCUUAUGAAGUUAGCGGCGGACGGGUGAGUAACACGUGGGUAACCUGCCCAUAAGACUGGGAUAACUCCGGGAAACCGGGGCUAAUACCGGAUAACAUUUUGAACCGCAUGGUUCGAAAUUGAAAGGCGGCUUCGGCUGUCACUUAUGGAUGGACCCGCGUCGCAUUAGCUAGUUGGUGAGGUAACGGCUCACCAAGGCAACGAUGCGUAGCCGACCUGAGAGGGUGAUCGGCCACACUGGGACUGAGACACGGCCCAGACUCCUACGGGAGGCAGCAGGAGGGAAUCUUCCGCAAUGGACGAAAGUCUGACGGAGCAACGCCGCGUGAGUGAUGAAGGCUUUCGGGUCGUAAAACUCUGUUGUUAGGGAAGAACAAGUGCUAGUUGAAUAAGCUAGCACCUUGACGGUACCUAACCAGAAAGCCACGGCUAACUACGUGCCAGCCGCCGCAGUAA